AACGAACGCUGGCGGCAUGCCUAACACAUGCAAGUCGAACGAGACCUUCGGGUCUAGUGGCGCACGGGUGCGUAACGCGUGGGAACCUGCCCUUAGGUUCGGAAUAACUCCCCGAAAGGGGUGCUAAUACCGGAUAAUGUCUUCGGACCAAAGAUUUAUCGCCUUUGGAUGGGCCCGCGUUGGAUUAGCUAGUUGGUAGGGUAAAAGCCUACCAAGGCGACGAUCCAUAGCUGGUCUGAGAGGAUGAUCAGCCACACUGGGACUGAGGCACGGCCCAGACUCCUACGGGAGGCAGCAGUGGGGAAUAUUGGACAAUGGGCGAAAGCCUGAUCCAGCAAUGCCGCGUGAGUGAUGAAGGCCUUAGGGUUGUAAAGCUCUUUUACCCGGGAUGAUAAUGACAGUACCGGGAGAAUAAGCGCCGGCUAACUCCGUG
rnacentral:rRNA from 1 species